UACGUAGGGGGCGAGCGUUGUCCGAAUUUACUGGGCGUAAAGAGCGCGUAGGCGGGUUGUUAAGUGAGAGGUGAAAGGUUCAGGGCUCAACCCGAACAGUGCCUUUCAUACUGGCGACCUUGAGUGUGGGAGAGGCGAGUGGAAUUUCUGGUGUAGCGGUGAAAUGCGUAGAUAUCAGAAGGAACACCCAUGGCGAAGGCAGCUCGCUGGCCUACAACUGACGCUGAGGCGCGAAAGCGUGGGGAGCAAACAGG
rnacentral:rRNA from 1 species